AAGGAAGCCAUCUCCUCCAGCCCAUCUUUCGAUAACGGUAUUUCCAAGGUGCCUCUUUAGAUUGGGAGCAGCUUGGAGAACAGAUGCUGACUGCACCGCUCGGUCUGCGGAAAUGCACUCGGGUGUGUGCUGAGUCACACAGAUUUCCCAUCACUUUGGGGAGGACCAGCUGCCAGCGUGAAACUAAGGAAGAGUCCCUGGCUUCUGCCAUUCAAGGAAGUCCCAUUCACAUCAUAUUGCUUGGCUCCGUUCCUGAUUUGUG